AACAUCUAAUUUAAACUACGAGUAGUUACCAAUGAAACGUAAAAAUAAUUAUUUGAUGUCAAGGUGUCAGGUUAUUUGAAGUUUGUGUUAUUACGAUAAAAUCAAGAAAAAAAUGUAUUCAACAAAAGAGAAGAUACAGAUAAUGAAUUUAUACAAUGCCAAUAACAGCCUAAGAAAUGUGCGUGACAUCUUGUCUGUAUCUUUCCCCGAUCGGCCAAUUCCAUCAAUUGGAACCAUUCAUAAUAUUAUUUCCAACUUUAAUAAACGCGGGUGUAACGAAUACGAACACCACAAGAGAACAAGAUCAAAUUAUGUGUUAACUGAAGAAACCAAGUUAAACAUUUUAUGUUAUGCAGAAGAAAACCCGAAGUCUUCAUUAAGAAUUAUGAGCAACAAUUUUGGAAUCUCGUAUUCUUCAGUUAGAAAAGUGUUGAAAGAAUUUAAAUACAAACCGUAUAAAUUUACAAAUUAUCAGCUAUUGAGUAACGAAGAUACAAUUAAAAGAACCGAUUUUUGUGAAAGAAUGUUCAAUUUAUUAAAUGAAAAUGAAGAAAUAUUGGAAAAAAUAGUAUUUACAGACGAACCAUCAUUUGAACUUGAUGGUGAAGUAAAUUCUCAAAAUUAUCGAUAUUGGUCAAGGACUUAUCCACGCUUCCAAAAUUUAACAAGGACACAGUACAACCGUAGGGUUAACGUAUGGGCAGGAGUUAUUAAUAACACACUAAUAGGCCCAUUUUUCAUAGAAAGAUAUUUAAACUCAGUUUCCUUCUUAGAACUUCUCCACACACAAGUAGUACCCCAAAUCCAAAAUUUAAACACUGAUAAUGCCUGGUUUUAAAUGGACGGAGCUCCUCCGCAUUCCACUGCAGGAAUCAGACAUUAUUUAAACGAAAUUUUUCCAGAGCUGUGGAUUGGAAGGUUUGGACCAAUAUCUUGGCCCCCUCGGUCCCCAGAUUUGUCACUCAAUGACUUUUUUCUUUGGGGGUACUUAAAAUGUAAAAUUUAUAAUAAAGUGAUAAUAAAUAAUGUGGAAGAACUUAAAGAUCGGAUUAGACAUGCUUGCAUUGAGCUUGACCCCACUUUCAUACGAAAUGCUGUUCAGGAUGUUCAUAACAAGCUCGGUUAUUGUCUGGAACGAGAAGGUGGACAUUUCGAACAUUUGUUAAAAUAAGUUAUUAUUCUUUUACCUGUUACUGUUACCUCAAUAAAUUUCACAAAAACUAA